CCUACAGCGCCGUCUGUGGAGAAGGAGGUGGGAAGGACAGUAACGCACACGGGGAGAAUCGGGGUGGGAAAUGGGGCCAUUCUCUGCUUCUUCUUCCAAAUUGUAAGUUUGGAGUUAUGUCAACCCAAAAGUUAAAAACCGUAAGUAAAUAUCUUCUUCCCCUAUAGGACUCUGGGAUGGCACUGUAAAGUUCCCAGGGCCUGAGGCAGGCCUCUCCUUGCAACUACUCAGGAAGCUGAGGCAGGAGGAUUGAGAUUAAGGCCGGCUUAGACUACAAAGGGAGUUUAGAUCCAGCCUAGGCAAUCUCUCGAGACCUUCAAAAUGAAAAAGUGAAAAGAAAAUUGUUCUGUGCAAUGGCUGUUCACUGAGGAGAUUAUUACUGUUAAACUUCUGCAGACAGGAAAAGGGUGGAAGAGGACCACCAUGGUCAACGUCCACUCACACACUCCACGACCCCAAGAAGGUACGUGGACUGUUUCUGAAACCCGCAGUGAUUUGGUGAGGAGCAGCCGCUCUGUGCACAUCGGAUCUGCAGAGCCGAGCCAAGCCCCGCCCGACCAUGUUGCCCCUGCCCACACUCCAGCCCAGCAGGGAAGCCCUGGACAGGCCUCAGGAGUCUGUUAGGAUACUCCCUCCUUCCAGGCAUUCUGGAACGUUCUCUGAAGUGUGUAUCCAUUCGGGAUGUCUCACCUCUGUAAUCUGUCUCUACCCACAGAAGACGCUGGGCAAACAGCAUGACCGUGUAGCUGUGGCAGUCUGUAGCCCUGGGCGUGCCUACUUGGUAGCAUCAAGAAUGGCCUUUGCUCGAGGUCUGGUCUUGUCACUGUGCCCCUGGUGCCUCCCUCACGGUUGAUACUUUACCCUACAAUAAAGUACAGGUGACUCUUAGGGGAAUGUUUAA
rnacentral:sRNA from 1 species